GACGAACGCUGGCGGCGUGCCUAAUACAUGCAAGUCGAGCGAAUGGAAGGGAGCUUGCUCCCUGAAGUUAGCGGCGGACGGGUGAGUAACACGUGGGCAACCUGCCCUGUAGACUGGGAUAACAUCGAGAAAUCGGUGCUAAUACCGGAUAAUCGAAGAAACCGCAUGGUUUCUUCAUAAAAGAUGGCUCCGGCUAUCACUACAGGAUGGGCCCGCGGUGCAUUAGCUAGUUGGUGAGGUAGAGGCUCACCAAGGCAACGAUGCAUAGCCGACCUGAGAGGGUGAUCGGCCACACUGGGACUGAGACACGGCCCAGACUCCUACGGGAGGCAGCAGUAGGGAAUCUUCCGCAAUGGACGAAAGUCUGACGGAGCAACGCCGCGUGAGUGAUGAAGGUUUUCGGAUCGUAAAGCUCUGUUGUUAGGGAAGAACAAGUACCGUUCGAAUAGGGCGGUACCUUGACGGUACCUAACCAGAAAGCCACGGCUAACUACGUGCCAGCCGCCGCCGUAAAAC
rnacentral:rRNA from 1 species